GAAAUGCAUCAAAUGUUGAAGAAACUAGAUAAACAAAAUCAAACAUUGCUACAAGACCCUGGGCAUGGUUCUGCAAUUCAUUCUAGUUCCAGGAGGGAAUACUCCAAACUAUUAAACUCCCAGCUGGUUUGCAGCAUUUGGAGUGAGAAAGAGUAUCUUUGCCUGCAGCACAGGAGUACUAAGGGGACACUCCUUCCACUGUGACCUUCACAGACAUUAAUGCUUGACUCCAGUCAGGGAUGAGGGCAUCCAUGGCAAGGCAGCACUUAUUGCCCAUCCCUAAUUGCCCAGAGGGCAGUUAAGAGUCAACCACAUUGCUGUGGGUCUGGAGUCACAUGUAGGCCAGACCAGCAAUUUUCUGCAUGUCCACAAACUUGGCUUUCACAACCUCUCUGAGCUGCUGUGAAGCCUCUGAGUCAUCCUUACAAGAAAAUGGAGCCGAUUCCAAAUGUUUGACCCAGAUGGAUUUACCUGUGUUCGUGAAGUGUGUGGGAUAAGUGGAUGACAGUACAGCCUCUAGGUCACUGGUGUAAAUGUCACUAAGGGUGGCAUUUUCACUCUAAUGGCAUGGCUAAGGCCUGCAGUCUGGGUUGCAAAUACCUGCAGAGGAGAACAAAAGGAAGUACAUUAAAUUUCCACAGAGGCUAAGUGGGAUGAAGGUAUAGGCAUG